rnacentral:rRNA from 1 species
GGCCUAACACAUGCAGUCGGGCGGUAACAGGGAGAAGCUUGCUUCUCUGCUGACGAGCGGCGGACGGGUGAGUAAUGUAUGGGGAUCUGCCUGAUGGCGGGGGAUAACUACUGGAAACGGUAGCUAAUACCGCAUAAUGUCUACGGACCAAAGCGGGGGACCUCCGGGCCUCGCGCCAUCAGAUGAACCCAUAUGGGAUUAGCUUGUAGGUGAGGUAACGGCUCACCUAGGCGACGAUCCCUAGCUGGUCUGAGAGGAUGAUCAGCCACACUGGGACUGAGACACGGCCCAGACUCCUACGGGAGGCAGCAGUGGGGAAUAUUGCACAAUGGGCGCAAGCCUGAUGCAGCCAUGCCGCGUGUAUGAAGAAGGCCUUCGGGUUGUAAAGUACUUUCAGUCGGGAGGAAGGUGGUAAGGUUAAUAACCUUAUCAAUUGACGUUACCGACAGAAGAAGCACCGGCUAACUCCGUGCCAGCAGCCGCGGUAAUACGGAGGGUGCAAGCGUUAAUCGGAAUUACUGGGCGUAAAGCGCACGCAGGCGGUUGAUUGAGUCAGAUGUGAAAUCCCCGGGCUUAACCCGGGAAUUGCAUCUGAUACUGGUCAGCUAGAGUCUUGUAGAGGGGGGUAGAAUUCCAUGUGUAGCGGUGAAAUGCGUAGAGAUGUGGAGGAAUACCGGUGGCGAAGGCCGCCCCCUGGACACAGACUGACGCUCAUGUGCGACAGCCUGUGGAGCAGACACGAUUAUAUACCCUGGUAGUCCACGCUGUAAACGAUGUCUACUUGGAGGUUGUGCCCUUGAGGCGUGGCUUCCGGAGCUAACGCGUUAAGUCGACCGCCUGGAGGAGUACGGCCGCAACGUUGAGACUCACAUGAAUUGACAGUGGCCCGCACAAGCGGUGUAACAUGUGGUUUAAUUCGAUGCAACGCGAAGAACCUUACCUACUCUUGACAUCCGGAAAACUUUGUAACAGAUGCUUUUGUGCCUUCGGAAACUCUUAGACAAGGGCCUGCAUCUUUGUCAUCUCCUCCCGGAUGGGAAAAUGUUUGAUUAACUCCCGGAACUAUUUCAACCCUUAUCCCUUUGUUGCCCACCGCUGAAUUGCCAGUGAACCCAAAAGAAACCUCCCCUGCAAACACCCG